AUUGAACGCUGGCGGCAUGCUUUACACAUGCAAGUCGAACGGUAACAGGGAGCUUGCUCCGCUGACGAGUGGCGAACGGGUGAGUAAUGCAUCGGAACGUACCCAGUCGUGGGGGAUAACGUAGCGAAAGUUACGCUAAUACCGCAUACGUCCUGAGGGAGAAAGCGGGGGACCGUAAGGCCUCGCGCGAUUGGAGCGGCCGAUGUCGGAUUAGCUAGUUGGUAGGGUAAAGGCCUACCAAGGCGACGAUCCGUAGCGGGUCUGAGAGGAUGAUCCGCCACACUGGGACUGAGACACGGCCCAGACUCCUACGGGAGGCAGCAGUGGGGAAUUUUGGACAAUGGGCGAAAGCCUGAUCCAGCCAUGCCGCGUGAGUGAAGAAGGCCUUCGGGUUGUAAAGCUCUUUCAGACGGAAAGAAAUCGCAUCUUCUAAUACAGGGUGUGGAUGACGGUACCGUAAGAAGAAGCACCGGCUAACUACGUG
rnacentral:rRNA from 1 species